rnacentral:rRNA from 1 species
UACGGGGGGGGCAAGCGUUGUUCGGAAUUACUGGGCGUAAAGGCUCGUAGGCGGCCAACUAAGUCAGACGUGAAAUCCCUCGGCUUAACCGGGGAACUGCGUCUGAUACUGGAUGGCUUGAGUUUGGGAGAGGGAUGCGGAAUUCCAGGUGUAGCGGUGAAAUGCGUAGAUAUCUGGAGGAACACCGGUGGCGAAGGCGGCAUCCUGGACCAACACUGACGCUGAGUGAGCGAAAGCCAGGGGAGGCAAACGGG